rnacentral:tRNA from 1 species
GCCAGUUUAGCUUAAUGGUAAAGUACUUGACGCGUAAUCAUAGGGAUGUGAGUUCGAGUCUCAUGGCUGGCC